rnacentral:lncRNA from 1 species
UGUGUUUUUUUCUUUUUAUUUAUUUCUCCUUUACUGUUUAAUUUACUAUUAGCAUAUUGUAGUUUUAUUAGAUAUGAUACCAAUAUCUAAAUUAAUGUUUUAGUUUAACCCUCAUCCACAAAAAGGUUCUACUCCCAAAUAAAAAUAGUUUGCUAAUUUUUAUCUCAGGAAAGGCAUUUAAUUAAAUAUGAUUAUCACUGUUUUAAUCACAAAGAGCAUUUAAAUAUUUUUACAAAAAUGUUGGGUCAGCACCAUAAUUGGUUAUGGAAUAUUUGCCACACUUUGAACAUUUUAUUUUUAACAUUUGAAAAGAUUCGUUGUUUGACUUUAUUUUAAAUUUGAAAUUUGAAUUGGUUUGAACCAACGUGGGACCUAGCAAAUGUAAAUGUGAUGACAUGGUAUCAUUAGCAUGGAGUUACUGUAGCUUAAUUAUCCGGGCGUUACAAAUCUCCUCCACUACAAGAAAUCUCGUCCCGAGAUUUAGGAGGUAGAAGGAGACAGAGCGAGGUAUUCAUCUCAAAGACGAUCCUCGAGUUCCCAAGUGGCUUCAUCUUCAGAAGGAUUUGACCACUGAUUUUUUUUUUGAAUUUUUAAAGCCCUCUGACGAUGCGACGUUCAGUUAGACCGAGAACGCGGACCGGACUGAUACUUCAGGCAUCGAAGUAGAAAUUUUCAUGCAUCCAAGGAAUAAAUCCGUGCUUCGGCAUUCCGAACAAGAUGAGCAUGGUAGCUCACUAUCUCACUUGACGGAUGUAGUAGAUGCACGGUUUUAGUGGCGCAAAUGAUAGAAGCGGUAUGUGUCUUCAACCAUUCCAUUCCCGGGAUGAGGUCGAUAUUGGACGACUUCAAAACAAUGGGGGAAACAUGGAAUUCCAGCCCUUCAAUUUCAACGGGGACGUUGAGGCUAACCAUGGUGGUUCGACAUUGGCCCGCGGGGGUGUGUACCACUAGCGGGUUGUUCAUUUCUUCGAACAUAAGGCCAUGCAUGGAUGCAAAAUCUUCGGAUAUGAAAGAAUGCGAUGCUCCUGAAUCGAAUAAAAUAGAAGCUGGUAUUGAGUUAACAAGAAGAGUACCCAACACAGUAGCAGGCUGGUCUUGAGCUUCAUUCAGAUCAAUGUGGUUGGCUUGACCACGACCAUAAGGCCUGGUAUUGUUGUUGUGGGGCUGAUUGUUACCACGGCCAGUUUGAGGAAGUGCAAGCUGGUACUGAUUCUGAGAGCAAUCCCUGGCACGGUUUCUUGGUUGACCACACUUGAAGCAUAGCCCAUCAUUGGGACGGGAAGCAGGAGUUUGAAGUCUCGGCUGUCCAGGUGGUGGAGGAGGCAGACGAGGUGCAGCAUGGGUCUGUCUUGGUGCAGGGGCAGCUGGUGGAUACAUGCUGUGGGGGAUCCAUAUCUUACGCUUCUGUAUGACAGGCCCGAAGAUGAACCCGCAUAAUGGUUGCGCCUGAGGGAUCCGUGGUGCUCCUGCAGACUAGUUUCGACCUGAAUGGCCUUGUUCACCAAGGUGGCGAAAUCCGCAAAGUCAUGCACGAGGAGCGCCAGCUUGAUAUCGGCUUGAAGUCCAUCACGGAACUUUCCAUGUUUACGUGCAUCACUGGCAAUGUCAUCUUCAGCAUAGCAGGACAAGUCAAGGAACUCCCGCUGAUAAGCAUCCACAGUCUUGUUGCCUUGGGAGAGGUUGCGGAACUCACGCUUCUUCCUGUCCAUAAUUCCUUGAGGAAUGAAGCGGGCACGGAAAGCAGCUUGGAAAUCUGGCCAAGUGAUGACCGUUUCAGCAGGUAAAGAGCGCCUGUGGCUGUCCCACCAUUGAGCAGCGGGACCCUUUCACGUAAUAGGCCGCGAAGGUGACAUAGUUGGUAGGGGCUACAUUAGUAGACUCCAACUCAAAAGGGAUGUCACGAAGCCAGUCAUCAGCAUCAAGGGGCUGAGUUAAGCUACGGUAGCUGACAGGGUUGAGAUGCGCAAAGUUUUCCAGAGUUACUGGGGCGGGUUGUUGAUUCAUAAUGGGGCGCGGGAAUUGAGCCAUGACUACUUUCAUGAACUCUUGAUUCAGCUUAACUGUUCUAUCAUUCCGACCAUGAAUUAGGGUGAUGGUGGAUUGUCGCCACCACGGUCAUAACUAGCGGGUCUAACCAUCUUGCUUAGAUGCAACAGGGGUAGUUUAGCAAGGGUUGGUGCAAGUGUAUGGAGUCAUUCAUGGUGUAACCCGAACAAUGAGCAAAGCCACACUAUGUACAAAAUAGUAGUCAUUAAAGACAUACAUACACAUAUUCAAAUCCAUUUACACGUUGUUUGUAUGAGUUCGGACAAGAGAAGCAUCCUAGGCAUACUAGGCGGCAUGCAUGCACGCAAUAGAGGGACACAUCGACGGGACAUAGCGAAGGCUACAUCAACGUUGCAGAAAACAUCUGGAACGAGGUAUUUGCAAGUGAUGACGCAGGGUGCCAUCGAUAAAAGGAUCCUGCGGUCAGUGAAUAUUGUGAAGCGGAACUUGGCCCUCAAUUCAAGAAAGGCAUGAUACAAAUCUCCAGGUGGAUGUGAUCACGAGAACCUAGGGUAGAGUUAGCAAAACCAUUUAACCCGAAAUAGAAGAGAGAUUAGAGACCCAGAGUAUAGACGAGGAGUAAAAGAUCCUAAUACAACCCAAUGGCGACGUGGGCCGAUAAGCCACACAGCCAUGUUAGUAAAUCAGUUUUUCCAAAGACUAGACUCAACUUCGGCCAAGGAGUUGGAAAGGGGGAUCCUACAGGCAGUCGGCUCUGGUACCAACUUGUGAUGCCCCCGAUUCAAUCAUACACUAAUCAUACACGCAAAUGUGUACGAUCAAGAUCAGGGACUCACGGGAAGAUAUCACAACACAACUCUAGACACAAAUAAAAUAAUACAAGCUUUAUAUUACAAGCCAGGCGCCUCGAGGGCUCGAAUACAAAAAGCUCGAUAGACAAGAGUCAGCGGAAGCAACAAUAUCUGAGUACAGACAUAAGUUAAACAAGGAUGCCUUAAGAAGGCUAGCACAAAAGCAACACGAUCGAAGAGGCAAGGCCUCCUGCUUGGGACCUCCUAACUACUCCUGGUCUUCGGCGGCCUCCAUGUAGUAGUAUCCGUCGGCGGUGGCAUCUGGCUCCAAGGAUCCACCAUCUGGUUGCAUCAACCGGAAAGAAGAAGGAAGGGGGGAAAGGGGGAGCAAAGCAACCGUGAGUACUCAUCCAAAGUACUCGCAAGCAUCAGAUCUAUAUUAAGUAUGCAUUUGUAUCAAAUGGAAGGGUUGUGUCUGUGGACUGAAAUGCAGAAUGCCAGAAUAGAGGGGGAAAGCCUAGCCUAUCGAAGACUAGCAUCUUCACGCAGCUCUGAGCAUCUUGCAGCAUGUAGAAGAGUAAAGAAUAGAAGUUUAUAAUUAACAAGCAUGUUGUAACAUUAAUGCCCAGAGAUCCUUCCUUGACUCCCUGCAAGAAAGCAAUCCCGGAGCCACAUAUCCAUCACAUAUCAAGUAUCCAUUUCUAGUUGUAUAAGAUCAGGAUACAAUUCUGAACGUCCAUUAUCGUGGACACGGUAUUCAAAUAUAUGUCUUCCCUGCAGGGGUGCACCACGUUACCCAACACGCUCGAUCACUCUGGACGGACACACCUUUCUGAGGUCAAUGCCCGCCCUCGGAAGAUCAAAACGUCGCAGCCCUAUCUAGGCUCAGCAAAGAGGUCCCCGUCGGUCUACAUCCUAAGCACUCCGGGGUCUUGGGCCCAUCGCCCGCAGCACUCCGGGUCGUUGUGUGCAGGGUGGAUACCAGCACCGCCUCGGAUGGCCAGCACGAUCCGACCGUGCCACAAUGCUGAACUGGACGUCUGACAAAGCUUCGGCUGAUACUGCGACGUCGAGGCCCAUAACUAUUCUCGCGUGGUGGUUAGUGCGUAAAGGCCAAAGGCUAACUCAGAACAAAUACCCAAACCUGUUAGUGCAUUAUUAAAAGGAGUGACGACUGUCGGGACAAGUCCGGAGCUAUCACCCCCUCCUGGGUGAUACCGCUAAACAGCGAGCCACCACAGUCACAUCGCACGGGUGCUCUCUGGGCCCGCCCGGUUUUCACAACAGUCUCAAGUGUAGUCAAGGUAACUAUGUGUCCAGACAUCAAGGGGAAAACUCGAGGAAUCACCCCCGGUGGAUUCCAUUCAAUGUAAUCAUCAAGGUGAACAUAAGAGGGACCACCCUCGAGGUUCACACUUGAGGUGUUGAACGACAGAGCCAUAUCGGGAAUGGUGAAAGAGGAAAUCACCCUCGAUGACCACGACCGAAUAGCUACACUACAGAAUUAUCAUCAGGAGUGCGUUAUGAGGGAUCACCCUCGGCACUUGAUAGUAGCUCUGCAGAGUCGAGCAACUAAAGGGGCGUGAUGUGAUGUGAGGUGUCGGGCUCUGGUCGUCGAUCACGCUGAUCGAGUCGGCAACAAGGACAAGGUGGGGGUCACUGAUGGAUCACUAACCAACCUAUACUAAGCAGUUUAGGAUAAGCAGGUAGGUAACAAUAAGCAGGUACAAAAGCAGGCUAUGCAUCAGAAUAGGAGCAAACAAUAACAAUAGCAAAAAUCUAAUGGAAGCAUGAGAGUAUAGAAUGGGCGAUAUCGGGAUGAUCAAAGGGGGGGGGGCUUGCCUGGAAGCUCCGCUGAAACGGAAGAAGGGUCGUCGUCGACGUAGUCGAUCAUAGGGGCAUCAGCAGCGGUCUCGGGGUCUACCGGAGGGAAGAGGGGGAAGAAACAGUAAAUACAUGCAAACAUAUGCACAACAUGAUUAUAAGCGGGGCUAGAGGUGUUCUAACGCAGUGCUAGGCGUUACUGGCGAAGGUGGAAUCAUUCGGGAAAGUAUCCUGGUUCCGGACGUCUGUGAGACAGAUGAACCGGAGGAGAAAGUUUGCAGGUUCGCUAUGCUAGAGACGAGUGGCAGACGAACGGACCGCGUAUCCGGAUUCGUCUCGAAAUUCUGAGCAACUUUCAUGUAGAAAACUUUUUCAUCCGAGCUACGGUUUAAUUUCUACGAUUUUUCAAAGAUUUAAACAAUAUUCUGGAUUUAUUAUUAAUUCGAAUUAAAAUAACAAAACUGCUAAGUGCACCCGGUGUAGUGCACCCAGAGAACACCCAGGGGCUGACCAAUGGGUCCAGGGGGUCCCAGUUGACGAGUCAAUGUUUGACUGGUCAACAGGGGGUGGGGUCCUCCUGUCAUGCACACAUUUAUCUAACUAGUGAUUAAGUUAACUAGUCUAGUUCAUUAGUUUAAUUAAGAUUAAUUAAUUAAGUUAAUUAAGCAUUUAACUAAUUAAUUAAUUAUUAUUUUUAAUACGUUUUUUUCUACUUCUUUUUUUAUCUAAACAAGGGCAUGGGCCCAUUUUUCAUAUGCCCGAGGGGGCCUAACGGGCGCAGGGGAGUGGAACCGGGUGCGGGCAAUCCCGCCUGGGCGACGAAGAGCUCGCCCAGAAGGGCGCGACGGUGCCGGUGGGCACAGGUCACGGCGGCAGCGGUGGUGGGCGGUGCGGCGGCAAUGGCGGAGGGCGACACCGAUGGAGGGUGGCGCCAGUGCGGGCCGGGCGCUGGUGCGUGGGCACCCGUCCAACGGGGCAUGGCGUGGUCGGGGCCUCGGCGAGGCGCUAGCGAGGAUGGCCGUGGCUGGGGCUAGCGGUGACCGGAGAUGGGCGAUGUGGGGCGAGGGUGCGAGGCCCGGCGAGCGGUGGCCGGCAGGGGCGGGAGGUCGGGGCGCCGUGGCUGCAGGGCAGAGGCGACGAGGCGGAGCAAAUGCAGUAGCAGCAGUUCUUGGCGGCAGCAGCAGCGACGACGCCACGGGCGCAGAGGCAGGCGCUCGCGAGCAGGUAUGGGAGUAUGGGGGCACGUGCAGGUGCAACCCCGUUUCAAUGAGCUAAACGGGCGAGGCGGACAGGUCCUAGCCAAGCUCAACUCGAGCUCGCGGCCAUGGUGGUCGUCGGCGGCGACGGGAUCUGGGCUACGCCUCGAGAGACCAGGUAGGAAGAGGUGGGAUGGGGCUGCUCACCGGGCGGCUCAAGAAGGCCUGUGAGAGUUUAGUAGCAGCAGGAGGGGCCGGAGUCGAAGGCGACAGCGGCACCCGUAGUGGAGGGAGUUGGAGGACGGGGACGCAGCGGGUGUCCCGUUGGAUUCUGGCCCAAGCUCGACCACGUAGUCGAAGUAGGCGACGAAGGCGGUGCUUCUUGCGCGGUCUUCGGCAGUGGGGAGGGCAGCAGCGAUGGCUAUGCCGGCGAUGCAUCUAUGGUGGAGCUCGAGAAGGAAGGGGAUUCCUCGAUCCAGAUCGAGAAAAGGGAGAAGUGAUUUGGGGUAGCUAUGGUUCGCACCGGGGACAGAGAGGCGCCAGCUAAAUAGGGGGGGUGACGCCGGUGGAUGGGCGCCACGGCGAUGGCCGCGGCCGUGGCAGCCAUCGGUUGUGGCCACGAGCCCCCCGUGAACAGGGAAGGGGAGGCACUGCACUGGUGGGCUGGCUAGUGGCCAGUUGGCCCAAGGCCGAGAGAGGGCACGGGGGUUUGCCCCCUUUUUUUUGUGGGUGUGUGUGUUUUUCUUUUUAUUUAUUUCUCCUUUACUGUUUAAUUUACUAUUAGCAUAUUGUAGUUUUAUAAAAUAUGAGACCAAUAUCUAAAUUAAUGUUUUAGUUUAACCCUCAUCCACAAAAAGGUUCUACUCCCAAAUAAAAAUAGUUUGCUAAUUUUUAUCUUAGGAAAGGCAUUUAAUUAAAUAUGAUUAUCACUGUUUUAAUCACAAAGAGCAUUUAAAUAUUUUACAAAAAUAUUGGGUCAGCACCAUAAUUGGUUAUGGAAUAUUUGCCACACUUUGAACAUUUUAUUUUUGACAUUUGAAAAACUUUCGUUGUUUGACUUUAUUUUAAAUUUGAAAUUUGAAUUGGUUUGAACCAACGUGGGACCUAGCAACAGUAAAAGUGAUGACAUGGUAUCAUUAGCAUGGAAUUACUGUAGCUUAAUUAUCCGGGCAUUACAAAUCUCCUCCACUACAAGAAAUCUCAUCCCGAGAUUUAGGAGGUAGAAGGAGACAGAGCGAGGUAUUCAUCUCAAAGACGAUCCUCGAGUUCCCAAGUGGCUUCAUCUUCAGAAGGAUUUGACCACUGAUUUUUUUUUGAAUUUUUAAAGCCCUCUGACG